ensembl:lncRNA
UGCGCGCGCGCGUGUGUGUGUGUGUGUGUGUGUGUGUGUGUUACUUGGCGGUGGUUAAAAUGCAGCCAACGUUUUGGUCUCAGUUUAGAAAACAUGAAACAAGCCAGUCGCUUAAGUAUUUCCAUCGUUCCAAAUUAAGGUAAAAAGUCAGUUUGCAUUCACAUUAUUCCUGAUCCUCAGGGAUAUUUCUUUUGCUUUAGGUCUUCCAUGGUCAUUUUUCCUUCUAUCUUUGAUGAAAGCUGAGAGCUUUGCCCCUCUUUUCCUCUUUCCUUUCCCUCCCCCUCCCUCCAUUCUUUUCUUUCCUCCUCCUUCCUUUUUACCUCUGUCCCCCUACCUUUCUUUUCUUCUCUCUUUCUUCCUCCAAAGUGACAGCUUGGUAUCUCUAUGUCAAAUGGGGAUAAUUAAAAUAAUAAUGACUUCGCAGGAUUAUUGGGAGAGUGAAAUGAGGCAUGUUGGUUCUUAAUGCAGGGCUUAGCAUAUAGUAAGACCUUCUACAUGUUGGUCAAGAUUAUCACUGUUUGAAAAAAGGCAGGUUGCCUAUAUUAUUCCUUUCCUCUCGGUUCUUCUGUUUUGUUUUUUCAAACUCCAAGUCUUGGGAACAAUUUGUCUGCAUUUCUUUCACUAGCUCUUUCCACUGAGGCCUGCUAGUAGCUCUCAGUAACAGGAGAGUAGCAGAACUGCUAAUAAAAUAUUUCUGUAUGAGACACCUUAGGAGACAGAGGAUGAGAUGGUUGGAUGGCAUCACCAACUCGAUGGACAUGACUUUGAGCAAGCUCCGGGAGCUGGUGAUGGACUGGGAAGACUGGCAUGCUGUAGUCCACGGGGUUGCAAAGAGUCAGACACGACUGAAAGGCUGAACUGAACACCUCAGGAGCCUUGCAUUGGGCCAGCAUCUCACAUGAGAAUUCGUUCCUGGCUGGAUAUGCUCACAGCAUGGUUAGUGUCUGCUUAGGUCCUGGCUGCCACUGUCAUGUUUGACCUGUCCCAAGGGUGCUGGGGCUAUACAGCAGACAGGCAAAGGCAGGCUCAGAACCAAGACCUGUUUCCAUAGGAACAGGUCAGUACCACCCAGGGUCAACUGUGAGUGCCUGCAGCCUUGUGCACCACAUUAAGUAGCAUCAAUGGGUCUCUGAAGUUCAAUAUUUUAAAUUAAUGCACAGAGAGGGGCCAAAUUCAAUUCUUCAUUGUCUGACUGUCAGUUGUUUAGCCUAUUGGAGAUGUUUCUCUCUGGUCCUCAGGACUGGGGCCAUAAGAAAAGUAGGAAAGAUGGCAGUGUUCUUCUCUGAUUCUUUCCCUGUACUUUACUAGGGGGAAUAGUGGUCCCUGACUUCAGAGAGCAUCUGAAUCACCAUGUUAAAUGCAGAUUUCCAAGAUUCCACCCACAAGACUCACACUCAGUAAGUCUCGGGGCAAGACCAGAAACUUCACCUUGAGAAGCAACCCAGUUACAGGAAAUCCAGUGAGUGCCAGCCACAGAAAUUCCCUGUGAUCCAAGGUAAACAAGCUGCUCCUCCUCAGUCCUGGAGGCUGACAACGUGCAGAGAAAAAGCCAAUUCACAGUAUCCUUCAGUUGGGCCUGAGAGGCUGAGAGUGAAUCUGCUGGGUGGGCAGGUGGACAGUGGGCAGCUUUCAGAGUGCAUAAAUGACCAGGUAAUUGGGGACACACACUCCUGUCUUUUUCCUUCUUUUUAAAGAAACAUUAUUUGAAUCCCAUUUUUUCAUCUGAUAGUCUGCCAGGGCUGACAGCCUAGGUCUGCUAUUUCUAAUGGGGAGCUCUGGGCAAGCCCCUUAUCUUGCUAAGCCUCAGUUUCUGCAUCUGUAAACUGGGGCUAAUACUAGGACCAAUCCUCAUAACACAUGUGAGAGUUAAAUGAGAACAUCCAUAUAAAGUAUGCGGGGUGUGCCUGUCACAUAUUACACACACUACAAAUGUUUUCCUUUACUGUUAUCACCAAUGAAGAUGGUCAGAUCAUAUUAUUUAGGGAUUUAACUGCCUUUUGUCUCUCAAAUACAGAAUUUUUUUUUAGAGUAAAGUUUUAUUGAGGUAAAAAAAUCCACAUUUGAAGGGUCAGAAACCCUAAGUGAGCAGUUUGAUGAAUGUUUAAAAAGCGAAUGGCCCCCAUGGAGUCACCAUCUAGAUCAAGAUCACCAGCCCCAAGAAGCUUCCUGGGACCCUUCAAAUUCAUUAUUUUCACUAUUUGGACUUCUAUUGCUAUAGAUUGACUUUUUAAAAGUGAAAUCACUGUCCUAACCACCACGCAAAUAGAAAUAUAGAACAUUUUCAGCCAUCCAGAUGGAUCCCCAUUCCAUUCAAAAAGAGCUGCUCUUUUGACUUCUAUUACAAUAAAUGUUUCUGAAUCUAUAUAAAUAGAAUUAUACAGACUGUGCAGUAUGUGCUCCUUGGUGUCUGGCUUCUUUUACUCCACCAUAUGUUUACUUGAGAGAUUUAUCCAUGCUCUUGCAUGGAGCAGACAUUCAUUUCUUCUCAUUGCUCUAUAG